AAAAUGCACUCCACUAUAUUUACUCUAUUCCAAAUCUGUGUACUUUCAUACUUCAGUUAGUAAUACAUUAUAUAAUAAAAGCUGGUACCCCUACACUGCCGAGUACAAGGCUACUUCACUGGAAGAGAUGAGUCAUAAGUCUGUUGCCACUGAUAACAUCAGCAGGUUACUCUGGCAUCUGUGUACAUUAAUCUCAAGUUUUCACCCUAUAACAACAAAUCCAUGCAGUUGAAGUUGUUCUAUUAUGAACUCGCCACUGGAAAAAGACACCGAGGAGGACCAAAGCGCAGCUACAAAGAUCAGCUCAAGGGCAUCGUGGCUCAAAUCAACAUUGAGCCUUCCUUGUGGUAACAAAUUGUUAGGAGCCGCAGAGGCUGGAGGACAGUUGUGAGCAACGGCACAUUGGCUUUCAGGGAAAACAAAACAGCGCGAGAAGGAAAUGCGAAAAAAGGAGAAAUUAGAACAACCCGGUCCUCCUCCCAUCCCCCCCUCCAAUGAGACCUCUGUCCUCAGUUGUUCCACCACCAGCUUGUCCUCUUAUUAGGCAUAAACGCCACCUGAGGAGACCAGAUAACUAACUGAAGACAGACCCAAUGUUCGGAUACGACCUCUGCUGGUGCCGACAGCAACGAUGACUACUAUUACUGCUAUUAUUACAACCACUACUACUACUACUACUGUUACUACUACUAUUACUACUACUAACUGUUGCUGUUGCUGUUGUUGCUACUGCUGCUGCUGUCACCGUCGCCGCUGCGGUACUUGCGGUACAAUCAUAAGAAAGCACACCAUAAGGAUAGAUCUUCUUUUUUCGUCUUCUAUUUUUAAUUUCUAACCUUACAAAACCGCGAGGCACAAAAGUUUACGCCUCUUUCGGCAAAACGAACCACGUCUGUAUGAUAGAAAAAAAAUAAUAAGGGCAUUACAUCAGGGAUUUUGAUUUAUUUGUAGUCAUUAUAAUUUUCCGUAAAAAAGAACUGGAGGAACAAAAUGAAUCAAAGUAGAGGAGAGGCAAAACAUUUAGAUAAAAAACAAACAUUCCUGAGAUGAGCUGAUCAUUCCUUGGAAGAAAAAAGUUCACUAAGAAUUCUGGUAGAAAAUUGAUUCAUUCUUUUUCUUUUCCUUCUUUUAUCUUUUUUUUGUUUGUUUGUUGUGAGAGAGAGAGAGAGAGAGAGAGAGAGAGAGAGAGAGAGAGAGAGAGAGAGAGAGAGA